AUUAAAAAAUAAAUAAAAAAAAAACUGUUAGUUGUAAGUGGAAGUUUCGGGGAAUGUAUGGUGAGUUGGAAUACAAUGAUAAAGGAGAUGUGGACAUAUGUUUGUAAGAUGAUAGAAAAGAUGAAAACCUCAAAAAUUGACUCGGUAAAUAUAAAUUGACUAAAAUAAUCUAUAUUGCACGUCUUCUACCCCUAUGCAUGACUUGAUCAAGUCAAUUUAGUAGCAACCGGGUUAACUAUACUACUCAUCAUAGUCAGUUUAAAGGUUCAACACAUAACCAUUGUGUAAGUUGAAAGGGUAUGCCAUGAACAAGGGCUAUAGGCAAAUGAAAAUUGACAAAACCGCCAACUCCCUUCUAGCUAAGAGUGCUCCAAAUCUUUCACCUGCAUAAAUUUUAAAUAUCAGCAAUGAUCUAG
rnacentral:misc_RNA from 1 species